rnacentral:lncRNA from 1 species
UGUAGAGACUUCAACACUUUUUAUUUACUACCAUAAUAUAAUGAUUUUUUUUUUUUAUUCCGUAGGUACCCACAAACAAUGCAUUAUCAGAAACACACAGCUCAUCAAAUGAUUUUGAAAUUAAAGAUUGUACUUUAUUAGUUUUAAGUUCAGAUCAGUGCUUGGAGAAUUUUGCAGACCCCUCCUCUCCUACAAUUUUGUCUUAUGAGAAUCUGCUCAGAACACCCACACCUCCAGAGAUUUUGUCAAAAUACAACUCAAACAGAGCUACUCCAGUAGCAGUGAAAGCAGUGCCUCCCAGAAAAGGGCUCCUCAAAACUGAAGGAUGGAACAUCCCAGAGGUUGGCAACAAAGAAAACUGACAAAAGUGAGUACACUAAAACUAACAGUAGAAUAGUAGUAAAAAUAGUUCUUAAUUGACAAAUGCCAGCUUAGAUUAAUAACCUGUCUUUUAUCUUUUGAUACAGAAAUUGUGGCCUGUGAAUCUCAUUUCCCCAAGUUAUCACAUUUGGUGAUCUCAGUGGGAAUCUAUUCCCAACUACAGUGGCACCUUGGUUCACUAACACUUUUGUUUCUUCAGUUUUCUAUGGCCCACAUUUACAUUUGAACACCAGCAAGAAUUACUUCUUAAUAUAAAGAAAAUCUCAACAUAAGAGGAUUUUGACCAUGUUUUCCCUUUC